AAAAAGGGGGAUAUCCCUGUGAAAGAAAAAAAAGAAAAAUUAUUUUCCAAUAAAACAAAAAAAAAAGU
rnacentral:tRNA from 1 species